rnacentral:rRNA from 1 species
AACGAACGCUGGCGGCAGGCUUAACACAUGCAAGUCGAACGCCCCGCAAGGGGAGUGGCAGACGGGUGAGUAACGCGUGGGAAUCUACCCAUCCCUACGGAAUAACGCAUGGAAACGUGUGCUAAUACCGUAUACGCCCUACGGGGGAAAGAUUUAUCGGGGAUGGAUGAGCCCGCGUUGGAUUAGCUAGUUGGUGGGGUAAAGGCCUACCAAGGCGACGAUCCAUAGCUGGUCUGAGAGGAUGAUCAGCCACAUUGGGACUGAGACACGGCCCAAACUCCUACGGGAGGCAGCAGUGGGGAAUAUUGGACAAUGGGCGCAAGCCUGAUCCAGCCAUGCCGCGUGAGUGAUGAAGGCCUUAGGGUUGUAAAGCUCAUUCACCGGAGAAGAUAAUGACGGUAUCCGGAGAAGAAGCCCCGGCUAACUUCGUG